rnacentral:rRNA from 1 species
GACAGAGGUGCCGAGCGUUAGGCGGAAUCACUGGGCUUAAAGCGUGUGUAGGCGGGCGGGCAAGUACCUUGUGAAAUCCCACGGCUCAACCGCGGAACGGCUGGGUAUACUGCCUGUCUUGAGCCAACUAGGGGCGAGCGGAACAGACGGUGGAGCGGUGAAAUGCGUAGAUAUCGUCUGGAACGCCGAAGGUGAAAACAGCUCGCUGGGGUUGUGCUGACGCUGAGACACGAAAGCCAGGGGAGCGAACGGG